CUUCCCCCAAAGUGUCUUGAUUUUAGAACAUGAAUUAGGCUGCCCCUCACAUCGGAUCAGGAUGCUACUGACACUCUUCUUAGAGUGUGUGUUUGGCUUUGUUUUUCCAGCAGUCAGGAUGGGUUUACACGGAACCAAACACACACAGUUUCUUGAUCUCCCCUGUAACCAAGGUUCUAAGACAACUGAUUGGAAUUAGAAUCAGAGUACUUUAUCAUGAGAAGAAACAGAAGCUGCCAUGCCCAGCAUUACACAGAACUGAGAUCAACACCACGGGACAUCGAGGUUUGCCCUGGAGAACCAGGACGACAAUUUCCUAGCUUAGUUGAAGAUGGCUUUGCAAUGAAUCUUUCCCUGGGAGACUUGGAGACUAUGAGCCCAAAUCCCACUGUUUACAGAGCAUGUUUUACUUGGAGCCUCUGGAAAUUCCAUGAGUUCUGUUUGCUGAAGGGCCCCGAGCGCUCAAUAAAGCUGAGUUUGCAGAAGCACCAAGGGAAUUCUGUGUCCCUGGCCACACACCCAGGAACAGGCACCACUGCCUCAUUUCUGGAGACAUGUAUGUAUAUAUUCUUUUUAAUGAGAAAUCUGUUGAGAUUUUCGAGAAAAUAAAAAGCUUAUUUCUGUUCAUUCUGGGCAAACGUCUACUAACCUGAUUUUUGCCAAAGACAACAAUGGAGACUUCAGUCUCUGUCACAAGACAGUCAUUGUCAAUUGGAGGACAAGGACAUGGUGAAAGAGGAGGGACAGGAUCCACAGGUGGGAAGAACCAGGCUCCUGUGAGGUAGCAGGAACUUUACAGAUUUUCUCCUCAAGGCAACCAGGGAGGCGGCGAAAAGCAUCCCCAUUUCACAAACGAGGAUAUAGAAACUCAGAUAAUUUGAAUAAUUUGCCCAAGAUCACAGAGGUGGGAGAUAGCAGAAGUGGGUUCUACAAGUCUGUACACAGGGCAGGCUCCUAAUUAACAUCUGCGGGUUCGAAAUUCCAUGUGCAGAAUUAGCAGGGAGAAGAGAAGCCCUUCCCUGAUUAAUUUGAGAGAGUGAUUAAUGAGGGAUGUAAAAAUUGAUAAAUAGAAUAUGCCAUCAGAUUUGGAAAGUGCUUUUCUACCUUACACAACCUUCUGCGGCUCUUGUCUCAUAAGAUAGAAGGAACAAAUGAAGUAUGGAUUUUUCAGGCAAGGAAGCUGCAGCUUGACAGGAUCAUUUAAUGAAUUAGCAACAGACUGGGGAGAAACCCCAGUUCCUGCAUCGAAGUCAGUGGCCCAGCGCUGUCUUUGUGCUUCUCAAGCGUUGACAUGUUUCAAAAUCAAUACAGAUUUCCAGAUACCACCCUAAAUCCACUGUAUCACCGUCUCUGGAAAUGGGCCACAGGAUCUGUAUUUUAAGCAAACCCCCCAGGUGACUUUUUCUGACACCAAAAUUUGUGAACCUAUGUCUUCUUUUCUUUCUUUUUUUUUUUUUUUUGGUUACUUACACUUUGUGAGUUGGAAGACCUGGUUUCUCCCUACCCUCUGGUCUAUGAGUGUCUUCUCAUCUAAAAAUCUGUUUUAGAAGGGAGACAAGAAAAUACCCCUCAUUCUCUCUCAUUUUUAAUAAGCCUCAUAGUUCUUGUGCGUCUAACUAUAGCUUUUCUUUAUUCAGUUUUUUUUUAUUAGGAAUAAAGCACAUAUG
rnacentral:lncRNA from 1 species